rnacentral:tRNA from 2 species
GCGCUCGUAGCUCAGCUGGAUAGAGUACCUGGCUACGAACCAGGCGGUCGCAGGUUCGAAUCCUGCCGAGCGCGCCA